rnacentral:rRNA from 1 species
GCUACUGGACCUAGCGGCGGACGGGUGAGUAAUGCUUAGGAAUCUGCCUAUUAGUGGGGGACAACAUCUCGAAAGGGAUGCUAAUACCGCAUACGUCCUACGGGAGAAAGCAGGGGAUCUUCGGACCUUGCGCUAAUAGAUGAGCCUAAGUCGGAUUAGCUAGUUGGUGGGGUGAAGUCCUACCAAGGUAACGAUCUGUAGCGGGUCUGAGAGGAUGAUCCGCCACACUGGGACUGAGACACGGCCCAGACUCCUACGGGAGGCAGCAGUGGGGAAUAUUGGACAAUGGGGGGAACCCUGAUCCAGCCAUGCCGCGUGUGUGAAGAAGGCCUUAUGGUUGUAAAGCACUUUAAGCGAGGAGGAGGCUACUUUAGUUAAUACCUAGAGAUAGUGGACGUUACUCGCAGAAUAAGCACCGGCUAACUCUGUGCCAGCAGCCGCGGUAAUACAGAGGGUGCGAGCGUUAAUCGGAUUUACUGGGCGUAAAGCGUGCGUAGGCGGCUUAUUAAGUCGGAUGUGAAAUCCCCGAGCUUAACUUGGGAAUUGCAUUCGAUACUGGUGAGCUAGAGUAUGGGAGAGGAUGGUAGAAUUCCAGGUGUAGCGGUGAAAUGCGUAGAGAUCUGGAGGAAUACCGAUGGCGAAGGCAGCCAUCUGGCCUAAUACUGACGCUGAGGUACGAAAGCAUGGGGAGCAAACAGGAUUAGAUACCCUGGUAGUCCAUGCCGUAAACGAUGUCUACUAGCCGUUGGGGCCUUUGAGGCUUUAGUGGCGCAGCUAACGCGAUAAGUAGACCGCCUGGGGAGUACGGUCGCAAGACUAAAACUCAAAUGAAUUGACGGGGGCCCGCACAAGCGGUGGAGCAUGUGGUUUAAUUCGAUGCAACGCGAAGAACCUUACCUGGCCUUGACAUACUAGAAACUUUCCAGAGAUGGAUUGGUGCCUUCGGGAAUCUAGAUACAGGUGCUGCAUGGCUGUCGUCAGCUCGUGUCGUGAGAUGUUGGGUUAAGUCCCGCAACGAGCGCAACCCUUUUCCUUACUUGCCAGCAUUUCGGAUGGGAACUUUAAGGAUACUGCCAGUGACAAACUGGAGGAAGGCGGGGACGACGUCAAGUCAUCAUGGCCCUUACGGCCAGGGCUACACACGUGCUACAAUGGUCGGUACAAAG